rnacentral:rRNA from 1 species
CCUACGGGAGGCAGCAGUGGGGAAUAUUGCACAAUGGGCGAAAGCCUGAUGCAGCGACGCCGCGUGAGGGAUGACGGCCUUCGGGUUGUAAACCUCUUUCAGCAGGGAAGAAGCGAAAGUGACGGUACCUGCAGAAGAAGCGCCGGCUAACUACGUGCCAGCAGCCGCGGUAAUACGUAGGGCGCAAGCGUUGUCCGGAAUUAUUGGGCGUAAAGAGCUCGUAGGCGGCUUGUCACGUCGGAUGUGAAAGCCCGGGGCUUAACCCCGGGUCUGCAUUCGAUACGGGCUAGCUAGAGUGUGGUAGGGGAGAUCGGAAUUCCUGGUGUAGCGGUGAAAUGCGCAGAUAUCAGGAGGAACACCGGUGGCGAAGGCGGAUCUCUGGGCCAUUACUGACGCUGAGGAGCGAAAGCGUGGGGAGCGAACAGGAUUAGAUACCCUGGUAGUCCACGCCGUAAACGUUGGGAACUAGGUGUUGGCGACAUCACGUCGUCGGUGCCGCAGCUAACGCAUUACGUCCCGCGUGGGAGGUACGGCCGCGAGACGUAAACGUUAAAGUAGUAAGUAGUACGGCGUUGUAGACGUUGCGACGGCGACGACGAGGGAGGAGG